rnacentral:tRNA from 1 species
UAUAUGAAUAGUUUAAUUAAAAAUUUUAAUUUGUGGUGUUAAAGAUCUUUUUUAGUUCAUAUAU